GGCCGCCCCCGUGGCAUAUGGAGGGUGGAAUAGGAGCUACAACUGCCAACCUACGCCACAGCCACAGCAAAGCCAGAUCCAAGUUGAGUCUGCGACCUACACCACAGCUCAUAGCAAGGCUGGAUCCUUAAUCCACUGAGCGAGGCUAGGGAUCGAACCUAUGGAUUGUUCAAUUGUUCAAUAAAUGCUGUUGAUAAUGGAAAAGAAUAUGAAAAAGAAUGCAUGUACAUAUGUAUAAAUCAUUUUGCUGAACAGUAGAAAUUAACACGUUAUAAUUCAACUAUACCUUCAUAAAAUAAAUUUAAAAAAAAUUAAAACAUCAAGUUGUAAAAUAGCAAUUACAUAGGUAAUGUUCUUUACGUGACUACACACAAAAAGGUCUAAAAAGAGGCUCAACCAGGAUGUUGAUGAGUUGACAGGAAUUAUCCCCAAUGAUAUUUGUAAGGAUUUUUUUUUCUUUAUGCAUUUGUAUAUUUGAAAUUCUCAUCUGUGUAAAAAUUUAAGUUUAUGGCAGGCUCCAAUGGGAGAAUCAAAACACAGAUCCCUAGGGUUCUAGAAGAGGGCAGGUCAUUUGCAGUGGACAUUUAUAUACUUUUUUGUAAGACAGCUCCUGGCUUUGCCCAGACAAGCUGCCGAAGGUGGCAGAGGGGCCUUUGAAUAUUGAGGUCACCUUCUCAUCUCCAGGCAAUCACUAUGGUCAAGUAGUUACUGCCAGACAUGGGGGUGGUAGUUAUGCACUGUGAGGGCAUCCACAUUUCUAGUAAUUUCUAUAGAAGCAAGUUAGUUGCAGUCCAUGCUCUUUCACAAACACAUAAAUACCAACUUUCCCCGAGGCGCCUACUACAUCCAGGCCUCUUGCUGCUUCUGUCGGCAGAACUAUGCAAAGUGCUUUGCCACUCAAGCUAAGUGAGGCCCGGCCCUGGGCUGCUUAAAGGUAUCUCAUGGGACACAGACCUUGGCCCCUCAAAGCAGAAGAAGGAAGAAUGGAUGACAGUAUGUUACUCCCCCAAGGCUGUGCAUCUGAGGCCCAUUCAGAAGUUUGCUGACCUGGGGUACCAAGCUCACACGUUUGCCUGAAAGUACAGGUGCUGACAGCCCUCCUGGGAGAAAAGGAAGGAAAAGGCCAAGAUUAGGAAGACGUUACAGUCCAUGAGGCCAUGGAAACAAGCUGAGAAGAAUGUGGAGGAGACAACCGACAAAUACAGAGAGAUCCUCAAUGGAUUCCUCGUCUGAGUCCCACACAGACUUUUUUUGUUUUCUCAUACUUAGCCUGGUCUUCUCUUUUUCCAUUGCAGCCCUGAGAUGUGGGAGACCUAAAAGCAGCAGUCUCAGUAUCUAAAUGUCCCAGGAAAUCACUUAGGAGUGACCCUGAAAAACAGCAGUGAGAUAAGUACCUCUAAGUGGGCAGAAUUUUUGACUUGUGUCUCUGGUGUGAAAAGUACAGACACUGGCAAAAGGCUUGUCUGCUUGGUCAGAAUCUGGAGCGAUAAAGAUGGGGAGUGGGGAUAAAGAGGUCCGAGAAAAGAGGCAGGUGGAGGAAUCUCUAUAAUAAAGUCGACAUGAAAUGUGAAGCUCUUUGUUUCACAUGUUAAUGCCCAACAGAAAGCAUCACAGAAAAGGCACUGAACAAACCUCAAGAAACAAUGACUUGUUCAGAUGACAUCAGCCAGGCUCUGCCUUUGGCCAGUGUUAGUCCAACAGGCAUGUGAUAAGAAAGGGGAUAGGAAUGGAGGUUAUACAUGAGCUCGUCUACAUGUGCUCCCACUCACCAAGGCUUAUCUCUGUACCGCCACUGUCAAAUAUCCAACCUGCCAACCACAUAGACAAAUGCUUGGCUCCCAAUAUGGCACUCCCUUUAGAAAACCUACCAGCUAGUUGGUGGCAAGUUGGAACCAUUCCCUCCUGGAAGUAGUAUCAAUCUCUCUUGGCUGGAAUUUAAACAUAUUCCAACUUAGACCUCCUGCCUGAAGGGUCUUAGCCAGUACCACUGAGGAUUUAAAGUGUUUGAUCUAUUGACCUGGGCAUUGGUGCAGCAGCGGGCACAUGAUCAGGGGCUCCACUGAUCAUUUCACAUGCUACACCACCUAGAUAAACUGCUAGACUGACAGAGCAUUGGAAGACCUGUUGAAGUUUCAGCUGAGGAGCUAGCCUGCACAGAAUACAAGGGGCACCACUUUCCAGAACUCAAGGUAUACUCUAAAUGGAUAUUAUAUGGUACAGGGUCCCUAAUAGGGAAAAUACAUGGGUCUAUUAGGUGAAAGGUAAAAGUGGAAGUCCCUCUGAAUACUGAUUCCCAGCGAUUCAUUUAGGGAAUGUUUAACCUUCUUUCCCGAGAAGUUAAGAGAUUUUGGCCUCCAAAGGGGAAAUGCUUCCAACAGGGGACAUAGGAAGAGUCCCACUAAAUUCUAGCUUCUGGCUGGUCACUUCAGGUUCUUCAUUCCAAGAAACCAGCAGGCAAGGAUAAUUGACCUUGAUCUUUCUUAGGCAGCUGUUAGGCAACUGGGAUAAGAAAGAGCAGGUUUGAUACUUAGGUAAUCCAUCUUUGUCUUGGUUUUCACUUGCUUAAUUUAGAUAGUACAUGGACAGGUGCAGCAGCCACACCUAGAAAAGGACCUGGUGAUGAAGGUCUUAGGCUCCUUAGUGGAGCCUUAGUCCGUCACUGGACUAAGUAAGCUACCUAGAGCAGCAGAGAGCGAGGGGAGGUAGCAGUGGAAGAUGAUCAGCUUCAAUUAGGGCCCCAAGAGCAGCUUCAAGGGCGGGGGUUAAUACCACCAACUCUUUCCCAGGAAGUUUCUCAGGAGUAGAGACUCGACGGAAUUUCUGAAGAGCUGUUUCUAGAACUUACUGUAUGUAAAUGGGUGGACAGCUAUGAAUAUCCUGUGUAGAACUCUCUCCACCCAGGAAUGAAGCAGUCAUUCCAACAGCUGCUAGGAGUGUUGGAGGCUGAUAGCCUUCAUCUGAACCCAUCUCUAGAACCCACCCUUGGCUCAAGAGAGCCACCUUACCUUUCUGGGUUAAGCCGAGAUGACUGGUCCUUGUGGUAGUACAAAGUGUUCAGAGCUCCCUAUAGGAAUGGCUGAGGCCUUUGUUAGACUACAUCACAGUUCAACUUCUUCCUCGGCCCAAUCCUGCUUCCUUUACUCUUUUAACUGGUGGAAUCCAAAGGCACCCCUCGGUGAAAUUUCUGCACCCUAAUUUUCAUCUCUAAGUAUAUUUCCUAAGGUACUCGAUUUAUGGUAGGUUCCCUUCCCUGUGCAUCUAAUAACUGUUAGGACAUUUACAAUGUAAGUUUUAAAAUAAGUCAAAAUAACAAAGGAGAUUUAUUGGCUCCCACAACUGGGUAGGUUUCUGGAUUACUGUGAUUUGGUGGCUUAAUGAUGUCAAGGACCCAGUUUUGCUCCACUUCUUUGCUCGGCCUUUCACAGAAGCAGCAUUAAUCUAAAGCUGGCUUUGCUCACAAGUAGCUGCAGUAAUUCCAGGGUUUAUAUUCUUAGCUCUCCCCAUCUGAAUGGAAAGAGAGUAGCCUUUUACUAGCUUUUAUUUGAAGAACAAGGAAAAAUCUUUCAGUCACCAGCUCUUCAAGGUCCUCUGAUACAAACUGGCCAAAGUCUGGAUUUCAUAAACUAUCCACUGUGACAAGAGGUAUGGGAUUACCCUGAAUGGCUUAAAUAACCAGAGUUCAUUGCUGGAAUGAACUUAAUCCUUGCCUUCCACAACCACAUGGGUGCUACUCAAGAGGGAGGGAUGGGAGAGACGUUAUGGAGACAAACUAUAUUGGUUUGCUAGGGGUGUCAUAACAAAGUACAACAGACUGGGUGCUUAAACAAGAGGAAUCCAUUUCCUCACAGUUCUGGAGGCUAGAAGUCUUAGAUGAAGGUCUUAGCAGGAUUAUGUCUUCUGAGGUCUCUCUCCUUGCUUGUAGAUGGUCAUCUUCCAGCUUCCCUUGGGCUUCCCUCUGUGUACACACAUCUUGUUAUAUGGACACCAGUCAUCUUGGAUGAGGGCCUACCCUAAAGAUCCUAUUCAAACACAAUCACCUCUUUAAAGGCCUACUCUCCAAAUAUUACAUUCUGAGGUAUGGGGGUUAGGACUUAAACAUAAGAAUUUUGGGGGGAACACAAUUCAGCUCAUAACACAAAUUCAACAUCUAGCAUCAAUUACACAUUGAAAUUAUGUUCCUCUGCUUGACUGGUGCACUAAAUUUAGGUUCUUUAAGGGUAAGGACAAUAUCUUAUUUAUUUUUAUAUCACUAAUGCCUAGCAUUGAUCCUGCUACACACUGGGCAGUCAGUAUAAGAUAAUAACUGCUUGCUGAGGACUGUAAAGAAUUUGGGAGUUCACACUGUACCUCAGUGGGUUAAGAACCUGACUAGUACCCAUGAGGAUGUAGGUUCAUCCCUGGCCUUGCUCAGCGGGCUAAGGAUUCAGUGUUGCCUCAAGCUGCUGCAGAGGUCAUAGAUGUGGUGCUGAUCCUGUACUGCUGUGGCUGUGGCCAGCAGCUGUAGCUCCUAUUCGGCCCCUAGCCUGGGAACUUCCAUAUGCCACAGGUGUGGCCGUAAACAAAAGAAAAAAAAAAAAAAGAAAAAAAGGAAGAAUUCACUUGGAUUUAAGAGUGAAAGGUCAGAUUUGACAAUAUAAAAUUAAAACCUUCUUAUGAAAAGAAAAGCCACCAGGAGCAAAGUCAAAAGAGGAAUAUAAAAAAAAUAUAUAUGGAACGUCAAGAGUUACAAGCUCUAAGAUAAAAUGGAUCCUAAAAAAGAUCGAAAAAGGUGACAAACAAUAUAAAAACAUACAAAGGCUAUGAACACCCCAAAAAUAUAUGAAAAGAAGUCCAAGUCCAUCGGUAGUCAGGGAAACACCAAUUAAAAUAACAGUGAGAUAGGUUUUAAGGCAUAUUAUACUGACAAAAAUUUAAGAUUCAUAUGUGAGUC
rnacentral:lncRNA from 1 species